CUAAAAGGAUAAAUGGGUCUUGCCAAGGAUGGGAGUGGACUCAUGAAGUUUAGACCUUCCUUGGCUCUGGUGCUCACCAGUAGAAAAGAGGAAAUUCUCCCUUGUGAUUAAAGCAGUGAUACCCCAAACACAUACUUGUGAGCUUCACUUGAUUACAUGCCCUGCUGGUUCUGCAGGAGCCAUCUCCAGUGGAGAUGAAUCUAAUCCUGGGCUUCCUCACAUAUGGAAUGGGAAGGAGCAGCAUGUCCAAGCUGCUGUGGAGGAUGAACUGAGGGUGACUUGGAAUGGGUGGCUGCUCCACACAAAGCUGGGAGCUGAGCCUCCAAUGAAAAGUAGCUUCACCAGAGAAGCUAUGCCUUUCCAUCUGUUCCUCGGAUUUAGAUUCCUCAUGUUUUAUUGUGU
rnacentral:lncRNA from 1 species